rnacentral:rRNA from 1 species
UAGGGCAGUAUUUGGUAGGGGAGCAUUGUGGUACGGCACUGAAGGUUGGGGGUGACCCCGGCUGGAGCGGCCACAAAAGCAAAUGUAGGCAUGAGUAACGAUAAAAGGGGUGAGAAACCCCUUCGCCGUAAGACUAAGGUUUCCGUAUUCGAUGUUAAUCAGAAUCGGGUUAGUCGGGUCCUAAGGUGUAGCCGCCAGGCGAAGCCGAUGGCAAACGGGUUAAUAUUCCCGUACCCGCUCACGACGAAAGCGACGGAGUAGUGUAGGUAUCGCGUACUGACGGAAUAGUACGUUGAAGGCUGAGUAAAAUUAGCCGAUAGUACAGGUUCUUCUUCGGAAGGACUUGAUAGUGUACCGAAGCGACUUCCAAGAAAUAGCGAGUGAAGCGGCCCGUACCGUAAACCGACACAGGUAGUCGAGGAGAGUAUCCUAAGGCGCUCGAGUGAUUCAUGGCUAAGGAACUAGGCAAAUUAGACGCGUAACUUCGGGAGAAGCGUCGCCCGUACAGUGAUGUACGGGCCGCAGUGAAGAGGCCCAGGCGACUGUUUAGCAAAAACACAGGACUCUGCUAAAUCGCAAGAUGAAGUAUAGGGUCUGACACCUGCCCGGUGCUGGAAGGUUAAGGAAGGGGCUUAGGGAGUAAUCCCGAAGGUCUUAACUGAAGCCCCAGUAAACGGCGGCCGUAACUAUAACGGUCCUAAGGUAGCGAAAUUCCUUGUCGGGUAAGUUCCGACCUGCACGAAUGGUGUAACGAUCUGGGCACUGUCUCGGCCAUGAGCUCGGUGAAAUUGAAGUAUCGGUGAAGAUGCCGAUUACCCGCAACGGGACGAAAAGACCCCGUGAACCUUUACUACAGCUUCACAUUGCAUUAGGGUAUAAGAUGUGUAGGAUAGGUGGGAGACUUUGAAGCGGCCACGCCAGUGGUUGUGGAGUCGUCCUUGAAAUACCACCCUUCUUAUACUUUGAUGCUAACUCCUACGAAAUAGGAGGACCGUGUGUGGUGGGUAGUUUGACUGGGGUGGUCGCCUCCUAAAGUGUAACGGAGGCUCGCAAAGGUACCCUCAGCAUGGUUGGUAAUCAUGCGAAGAGCGUAUAAGUAUAAGGGUGCUUGACUGAGAGAACGACAGUUCGAACAGGUGCGAAAGCAGGCUUAAGUGAUCCGGUGGUUCCGCAUGGAAGGGCCAUCGCUCAAAGGAUAAAAGGUACUCCGGGGAUAACAGGCUGAUCUCCCCCAAGAGCUCACAUCGACGGGGAGGUUUGGCACCUCGAUGUCGGCUCGUCACAUCCUGGGGCUGAAGAAGGUCCCAAGGGUUGGGCUGUUCGCCCAUUAAAGUGGCACGCGAGCUGGGUUCAGAACGUCGCAAGACAGUUCGGUCUCUAUCUGUUGCGGGCGUAGGAAUAUUGAGGAGAUCUGUUUCCAGUACGAGAGGACCGGAAUGGACGUAUCUCUAGUGUACCGGUUGUGGCGCCAGCUGCACUGCCGGGUAGCUAUAUACGGCACGGAUAAGCGCUGAAAGCAUCUAAGCGCGAAGCCAACUCCAAGAUGAAUAUUCCCUUGAGGGUCGCAGAAGAUGACUGCGUUGAUAGGCUGUAGGUGGAAGUGUGGUAACGCAUGGAGCCGAGCAGUACUAAUCGCCCGACAGCUUCCUUUU